UAAGUAAACAAUGAUUGUUUUGUUGUUGUUUUACAGGAAAAGGUCUUGGAAUAUAAUGACCAGUAUUAUGAAAAGUGGGAUUUCAAAACAUUCAUUUCGUUUUUUGAUGUGGCUUCAAAGGAGGAAAAGCAGCAUUUCUUCUCAAGUGAGGGAGCACUUAGAAAGAUGGCCAAUCUGGCUCUGAUGCUGCCACAUUUGUGCCCAACAAAAGACACCAACAUGAGUGUGACCUUAAGUCAGCAGCAGAUUGGUUGCCUCCUGGCCAAUGCGUUCUUCUGCACGUUUCCACGCCGCAACUUCAGCAAAAGAUCGUCAGAGUUAACCAUCCAACCAUCA